rnacentral:rRNA from 1 species
GACGAACGCUGGCGGCGUGCUUAACACAUGCAAGUCGAACGGAAAGGCCCUGCUUUUGUGGGGUGCUCGAGUGGCGAACGGGUGAGUAACACGUGAGUAACCUGCCCUUGACUUUGGGAUAACUUCAGGAAACUGGGGCUAAUACCGGAUAGGAGCUCCUGCUGCAUGGUGGGGGUUGGAAAGUUUCGGCGGUUGGGGAUGGACUCGCGGCUUAUCAGCUUGUUGGUGGGGUAGUGGCUUACCAAGGCUUUGACGGGUAGCCGGCCUGAGAGGGUGACAGGCCACACUGGGACUGAGAUACGGCCCAGACUCGUACGGGAGGCAGCAGUGGGGAAUAUUGCACAAUGGGCGGAAGCCUGAUGCAGCAACGCCGCGUGCGGGAUGACGGCCUUCGGGUUGUAAACCGCUUUCGCCUGUGACGAAGCGUGAGUGACGGUAAUGGGUAAAGAAGCACCGGCUAACUACGUG